rnacentral:snRNA from 1 species
CCAGCGUCCUUUGCCGUUACUGGCUCAGAUCAAUGUGUAGUAAUCUGUUCUUUCGAAGGGUGAAAUCUCGAAUCGCGAGUCUGCCAGGCUCUUUUGCUCAAUUUUUGAAACUUGUCGGUGGCCGCUGGGUCUUGAUCCAUGCUCACUGGCACCGUGUCGCUGUGACUUGCACCACUUCCAGCUGAUGCGACUCCUC